GCUUACGGCCAUACCAACCUGGCUAUGCCCGAUCUCGUCUGCUCUCGGAAGCUAAGCAGGUUUGGGCCUGGUUAGUACUUGGCAUGGGAGACGCCUGGCAAUACCAGGUGCUGUAAGCU
rnacentral:rRNA from 1 species